GACGAACGCUGGCGGCGUGCUUAACACAUGCAAGUCGAACGGAAAGGCCCUGCUUUUGUGGGGUGCUCGAGUGGCGAACGGGUGAGUAACACGUGAGUAACCUGCCCUUGACUUUGGGAUAACUUCAGGAAACUGGGGCUAAUACCGGAUAGGAGCUCCUGCUGCAUGGUGGGGGUUGGAAAGUUUCGGCGGUUGGGGAUGGACUCGCGGCUUAUCAGCUUGUUGGUGGGGUAGUGGCUUACCAAGGCUUUGACGGGUAGCCGGCCUGAGAGGGUGACCGGCCACAUUGGUACUGAGAUACGGCCCAGACUCCAACGGGAGGCAGCAGUGGGGAAUAUUGCACAAUGGGCGGAAGCCUGAUGCAGCAACGCCGCGUGCGGGAUGACGGCCUUCGGGUUGUAAACCGCUUUCGCCUGUGACGAAGCGUGAGUGACGGUAAUGGGUAAAGAAGCACCGGCUAACUACGUG
rnacentral:rRNA from 1 species